UCCAGCCUAGAAAGCCCCAGGCUGCAGCCUAGCACAAGGCUAACAGAGCUACCAUCGUGUUGAUGCCAGUUCUUCUUAAGAAGCAGACACAGCAUAAGGGACACCGUGUGCACUCAUUUAAGGUCUCUUCACCAACAAGGAGAUAUAGAGGAAGGAUAGGUGAAGAUCACAGGAGCCAUAAAAACAGAAAUGGAUAAAUCAGUACUAUAUAUGAUGAUGAAUUUCAUAUCAGAGUAAAAAGUUCUGAGAAGAUUAGCAGAAACUAUCAAAAAGAAAAACAUUCUCCCAGCUCCAGUGAUAUUGUGCUUCUCUUCUCUUUGUGGCUGC